UACGUAGGGAGCAAGCGUUGUCCGGAAUCAUUGGGCGUAAAGCGCGCGUAGGUGGCCCCGUAAGUCCGCUGUGAAAGUCAAAGGCUCAACCUUUGAAAGCCGGUAGAUACUGUGGGACUAGAGUACGGAAGAGGCGAGUGGAAUUCCUGGUGUAGCGGUGGAAUGCGCAGAUAUCAGGAGGAACACCAAUAGCGAAGGCAGCUCGCUGGGACGUUACUGACACUGAGGCGCGAAAGCGUGGGGAGCGAACAGG
rnacentral:rRNA from 1 species